GGGUAUCCUACCUGAUCCGAGGUCAACCUUUGGAAAAUUGGGGGGUUUUACGGCAAGAGUCCCUCCGGAUCCCAGUGCGAGACGUAAAGUUACUACGCAAAGGAGGCUCCGGGAGGGUCCGCCACUACCUUUGAGGGCCUACAUCAGCUGUAGGGCCCCAACACCAAGCAGAGCUUGAGGGUUGAAAUGACGCUCGAACAGGCAUGCCCGCCAGAAUGCUGGCGGGCGCAAUGUGCGUUCAAAGAUUCGAUGAUUCACUGAAUUCUGCAAUUCACAUUACUUAUCGCAUUUCGCUGCGUUCUUCAUCGAUGCCAGAACCAAGAGAUCCGUUGUUAAAAGUUUUGAUUAUUUGCUUGUACCACUCAGAAGAAACGUCGUUAAAUCAGAGUUUGGUUAUCCUCCGGCGGGCGCCGACCCGCCCGGAGGCGGGAGGCCGGGAGGGUCGCGGAGACCCUACCCGCCGAAGCAACAGUUAUAGGUAUGUUCACAAAGGGUUAUAGAGCGUAAACUCAGUAAUGAUCCCUCCGCAGGUUCCCCCUACGGAAG
rnacentral:rRNA from 1 species